GUUCUUGCUUCAGCAGAACAUAUUCUAAAAUUGGAACGAUAUAGAGAAGAUUAUCAUAGUCCCUGCGCAAGGAUUAGCUGAGACUCUUUAGAAUGGGUGAGUUGAGUAUUU